rnacentral:sRNA from 1 species
UAAUUUUAUUGCUGUCCAAAGACAGCAGGUGCAGUUUUAUUACACUGCUUAAAGUUUUCGCCUGCCGAGGAUCGAGCAUAGAUUAUAUUAUGAUGUAAUUUUGUGCCUUUCCUCUUAUCAACAGGGGAAAGGCUUUUUUAAUAUUU